GGAAGCGUGCCCGAAACACCAGGGACUACUUUGAUAAAGUAGACAUGGAGUUAAAUACUCCCACUCCCC
rnacentral:tRNA from 1 species